AAUCCUUUGCAGCAGUUUUGUGAAUUUCCCCAUUUAAUGGAUUAAAAACCGCAACCUGCAGCGAUUAAGUGACAAGAUGAGCACCCACCCUUCACUCUCAUACUCAGGGAAAAACAGGCCUCACCGCCAUUUCCACUGGAAAAGGGUGUCUUCUCAAUCCUGCUGAAUGCUCAUGGCAUGGAAGUUCAGAAAGUCCAAUGAAGAUGUUCCCAGAGACGACCUGGUUUCAAUCUUUGCUUCCUUUGCUCCUACCCGGUUGAUCAUCUUUCUGUUCCAUCAGAAGACAAACCAAAUCUUACCGCAGGGCUUUUGCACGUGCUGGCUCUCUGUUUGGAACCCUCUUCCUCCCGUGAUUUCUUGGACACUCAGUUCAUCAUCCAAGUCUUAGCUCAGUAUCAUCACCUUUGCCCAAAUGCUGUCCCUUGGUUCUGCAAUCACCUGGCCAUCUGCUGUAAAGUAGCUCCUGCUUCCCUGAACCUAGAGCAAUGCCUGCGUUCACUAAUGACUUAUCAAAUGAAGACUUAAUAAAGGAGAAAAUGAAGGUGUAGAGUCUGAGGCU
rnacentral:lncRNA from 12 species